rnacentral:rRNA from 1 species
CCUACGGGAGGCAGCAGUGAGGAAUAUUGGUCAAUGGGCGCGAGCCUGAACCAGCCAAGUAGCGUGAAGGAUGACUGCCCUACGGGUUGUAAACUUCUUUUGUGCGGGAGCAAUAAUGGUCACGUGUGGCCAGACGAGAGUACCGUACGAAUAAGCAUCGGCUAACUCCGUGCCAGCAGCCGCGGUAAUACGGGGGAUGCAAGCGUUAUCCGGAUUUAUUGGGUUUAAAGGGUGCGUAGGCUGUGAGGUAAGUCAGCGGUGAAAUGCCCCCGCUCAACGGGGUGAAGUGCCAUUGAUACUGCCUUGCUGGAAUGCGGAUGCCGUGGGAGGAAUGUGUGGUGUAGCGGUGAAAUGCAUAGAUAUCACACAGAACACCGAUUGCGAAGGCAUCUCACGAAUCCGCGAUUGACGCUGAUGCACGAAAGCGUGGGUAUCAAACAGGAUUAGAUACCCCUGUAGUC